rnacentral:rRNA from 1 species
CAGGUACAGAGGGAUGCUACCGGGCGACCGGAUGCGGAUCUCGAAAGCCUGUCCCAGUUCGGACUGGAGUCUGCAACCCGACUCCACGAAGUUGGAUUCGCUAGUAAUCGCGCAUCAGCCAUGGCGCGGUGAAUACGUUCCCGGGCCUUGUACACACCGCCCGUCAAGCCAUGGGAGCCGGGGGUGCUUGAAGUGCGUCGCCGCGAGGCGCGCCCUAGAGCAAAACCGGUGACUGGGGCUAAGUCGUAACAAGGUAAC